AGAAUCAACGCUGGCGGCGUGCCUAACACAUGCAAGUCGAUCGAGAAAGUGGAGCAAUCCAUGAGUAAAGAGGCGCACGGGUGAGUAACACGUGACUAACCUACCCUCGAGUGGGGAAUAAACCUGGGGAAACCCGGGCUAAUACCGCAUAAUACCCACGGGUCAAAGGAGCAAUUCGCUUGAGGAGAGGGUCGCGGCAGAUUAGUUAGUUGGCGGGGUAAUGGCCCACCAAGACGAUGAUCUGUAUCCGGCCUGAGAGGGCGCACGGACACACUGGAACUGAAACACGGUCCAGACUCCUACGGGAGGCAGCAGUGGGGAAUUUUGCGCAAUGGGGGAAACCCUGACGCAGCAACGCCGCGUGGAGGAUGAAGUCCCUUGGGACGUAAACUCCUUUCGACCGGGACGAUAAUGACGGUACCGGAUGAAGAAGCCCCGGCUAACUUCGUACCAGCAGCCGC
rnacentral:rRNA from 1 species